UUGGAAGGGUGGGGCAUCGCUGGUGGCGCAAGCCGCUGGAGGAAAGUCCGAACUCCUGAGGGCGCGGGGCCGCGGAAACCGGUCACAGUCGGCGCAAGCUGAUGACGACCGGCCUGACCGCGGGCGCGGUUGACGAAAGUCGCCACGACAGACAGUGCCACAGAAAAUAAACCGCCUCGGUCGAAAGGCUGAGGUAAGGGUGAAAAGGCGGAGUAAGAGACCACCGCCCGGCGAGUAAUCGUCGGGGCAAGGAAAACCUCCCCGGGAGCAAGGCCAAAUAGGGAACCUCGACGCGGCCCGCGUCAGGUCCGCGAAAGCGGACGGGUUCCGGGUACCGGCCGCCGAGAUGAAUGUUGCCCACCCACGACCGCAAGGUCGCGGGCACAGAAUUCGGCUUAUAACCCUUCCAAGACC
rnacentral:RNase_P_RNA from 1 species